UCAGGAAUAAGCUAUAAGCAGAAAGAAACUCCGUUAGCUGCGAGGCUAACGUGCAAUGGUAAACACUGCAGCGUCAAUGUGUCCAUUUUAGCUGGCAACGGAGAACUGUCUUUGCCUUCCCUUCAGUGUAUUAUAUCUAGGGAUGCACCGAAUCCAGAUUUUUGGGGUUUGGCCAAAUACCGAAUCCACUGGUUUAGAGUCUGCUGAAUCCGAAACCAACUCUGAAGUUGCUACAUUCAGGCUGCUGUC